UCAACAUGAUGAUACCAGAGAAUGGUUAUGCUUACAUGACUGAUAUAAUUUGAUGUCACACUUCUCUUGGCUGUCUGAUUAA